CGCUCCCCCCUCCCGGUCCCCCCUACAGCUCGUUCGCCAGUUCCGGUCACGUUGCUGGGUGUUUACGCCUGGAGCCCGCCCCGGACCCCCGCUGGGCGCCCCGGACCCCUCUGGAGCCCCGGCCCGACCGCCCCGCAGCCUCACAGCAGCUGAUGGCGCCGCAACCGAGGCGGGCGCUGCGGAACCCCGGGCGCAGCUAGCGCAGGGAAGAGCGCCUCCCCCUACCCAGCCGGGCCGGACCGAGGGCCCCGCUGGCCCGUCGCUCCCUCAGGUCCCGAAGGUGGGGCCCAGGUUUGGAUUGCCAUGGAUACCGUGUCCCUGGAGCGUCAGAUCCAGAGCGUUCAACGCCACAUCAGCUUCCUGAAAAAGGAGCAGAUGGCCCUGCUGCGAGACCUGCACCUGGAAAUAUUGAGGCUGCAGAAACGCUGCUCAGAACUGACUCAUGACCUGGAGAUGAGAGAGGCCCAAUCUCACCAGCAAGAGGCGGCGUCCCGGGAGCUGGAGAACAAGUGCCGCGCGCUGGAGUCGCAGCUGGCUGCGCGGAGCGCGGCCAACGCCGAGCUGCGACGGGAGGUGGCGCAGCGCGAGGCGCUGGUAUCCGCGCUGCGCUGCAGCCUGCGUGCCGAAGAGCGGCGCUUCUUGGAGGAGCUUCGUCGCCGCAGCCACCGAGCCACCGUGCUGGGCACCGAGCUGCAGAAGCACACGGAGGCGGCCGCCUACCUCUCCUGCCAGCUGCACGCGGCGCGUCAGAGACUGCAGACUCCGCGCCCGGGCCUCGGCGCCGCCGCCGAGCCUCGGCCCCGCCGGCGCGCACAGCGGGCCCGCCGCCCGCCCGCCGAGGCCUCCGCCAGGGGCCCGGGCCGGGACUGGGCUGCCUGGGACCGCGCGGCCGGCGUCCUGGCCGACGCCGACCCCAUGCCCGACCCUGCGCUCUUUCUCUGCGCCCGGAGGCCCCCGCCGCCCGGCGGCCGCACUCCGCGGCCGCCGCCGUCGCAGGAGCCUCCGGACCAAGCCAGCCUGCCCAGCGCGCCUGGGGACCCGGAGUAGGAGCGGGCCUGGCGGGGUGGGCCGCCCGGCUGGGGACGCAGCUCGGGCCGCGCAGUCAGGUCCCGGGGGCCGAGGGCGCCCGCCCUCCUCCGAGGAGCAGGCGGAGGCAGCCCCGACUCCCCACCGCUUCCAACCGCCCCCGCCUUUUGUGUUUCCCAACGUUUCGGAAGCUUCGAGCUCCCCUCUCCCGUAAGGGAGCUCCUUUGCGGGGCUGCGCGAUGCGCCUUGUUUGUGAAGAGGACUCGCAGUUCCUGUCCUUAUCCGCCCCCAACCCUGCCACUGGGAGGGGAGGGGGCGGGAGUCAGUCCCUGCCCCGGGAAGCCGACAAUCGUUCAGCGGGGAGGGGAAGGCUGGGCUGGCCUACGGAAGGAACUCAGCGUGGCAUUUAGCACCCCUAGGCCUUCCAGCUCCCCACUCUGACCUCCCCCAGCCCCGCACGGCAGCCCUUCCUUCCCCCCAAGCCUUUAUCCGAGGGGCGGCUCGGGUUAGGGGCUAGAGGCUGGACAUUUUCCUCGGAAGCCGCGUCCCCUACCCUCACCCCACUGAUAGGUCCUUACAGAUCCUGCCCUGGCUGAGGCCCAGCAUCCUGGUGACUGGGAGGGGAGCAGAGUCAAUCUCCAGGGAUAAUGAACCCUUGUACCAUCACACCCCCCAUGAUGAAGAGGGGGAAUCACCAGUCAUAUCCUCCUUCACUCUGUACAUUAGUGUGGGAAAUCAGCAAGAAGCAGAACCAGUGAGCGCACGCCCAGCCCACACAGCGCUGUGCCCUCCUGCUGCCCACACUCAGGCCUGCUGAGACCACUGGGCAAUGACCAGGCUGGUCUGGGGAUCCAGCCCCUGGAACGCUGACAGCCAAGUCGUGGGCACCCUGGGGACAGACAGUGCUCUCCAGUCUGAUGUGGGCUGCACUGGUGGCCCCGGGACCUUACUCUGCCUGCCCCCUCCUCUACCCCUCACCCCUCCAUCUUUGUGGCUGUGCCUCUGCCCUCUGUGUCUCCAAGUGUGACUCACUGUACCCCUCAUCCUGUUGCCUCCCUUUCUGAAGUGUCCAUGUGAGGAGGCCUAUCUCCUCUCAGCUACACUCUCUUGAAGGGGCCCAGAGGACUGUGGGGAGGAGGGGAAAGGGUGUCUUCUCAGAAGAGCCCACCCAGCCCUGCAGCUGCACUUUCACAGCCACACUUUUGGAGUGAACAGGGUGACUUUGUUAUGUUGAUUCUUCUGCAGAGAAGGUGAAGUACUUUGUCCACCCUCCCACCCACUAAAAGCCAUAGUUCUCCCACCUGUCCUCCCCACAAAGCUCUAUAGCAAUAGCCCUCUUCUCCUCUCCCUCCUGGGUACUUGGGGUGUCCUGCUGGGGGUCCCCACUGCAGGGAGCUCCUGGUGGCCUGCCUGCUUCUCCCCAAGUGACCCCAUCAACACCUCCCAACUCCUGUCCCUCUUCCAUCAGCUGGAGAUAAUGACAAUUUGCCAGGUGCUUGAAGAUCCCCCAGGUGAAAGGCUCGGCUGGGCCUGCUGACUUGUUGUCAGCGGAGAUGUUGGGGUGCCUGGGAAAGGAAAUAAGGCACCCUUCCAUGCUCCACUCAGCAAGCUGGGGAAGGGCUGAGACACAUACAGGGGCCCAAUUUUAAAACAAGUUUCUCUCCUAGAAAUAAUGAUCUAGAGACUUUCCUCUACCUGCCUGCACCUGGGUUUGCAACAGAACCCUCAGUGCACCAGAAUGGGACUGGAAAUGAGUUGCCAGCCCUUGGUCUCAGGGCCCCCAAACUCCUCAGCCUUGGGGCCUGGGAGAGACCCCACCCUCACCUUCUGGCUCUCUUCCUCCCCUAGCCACAGCACCCAGCUGGCCAAAGGAAAGACCUGGCACAAUUCCCUGGAUUGUCUGGGUGACUAAAAGGGAUAGGAUUGUGUGUCUCCUCCCCUCUGUUCUGCAGCAGGAAUUUCCAUUGGGGGAGGGGCAUGUUGGCACAGACACUUGGGCUUUAGUUGGAGCUCCAGCCACACCCCUGCUAUGGACAGCCCCAGGAAGGAGAGCUGUAGGUGGGAUCCCCUCCCUAUUCUGGAAGCCAGCUAGGGACCAGUGGGCAAUGCAGCAGAGGCUCUGCACCCCAGCCCUCCAUAUCCCACCCCCAGUGGCUUGCAGUUUGGGGAACCAGUCCAGGGCUGAAAUGGGUAGACCUUCCCCAAACCUGUGGACAGGAAGGAGGCCAAGAGGGUGCAGAGCAGCAUCUCCUCAGCACAGACAGCUGGGGACCUCUAAGCACCCUUGCUGAAGUGCCAGCCUUGAGUGGGGGACACAGGGCUUCAGAACCACCUGGCCGAAGCCCCAGGGGCAGGGCAGAGGGAUCCUGCUCCAGAUUCUCUGUUGGCUGCGCUUUUCAAUCCAGUGCAUUUCAGAGUGUAUUCACUCACCCACAGAAAUAGAGCCUUGUGCUUUAGGGGUGACUGUCAUAUGCCUUAUUCUUAAUAAAAUAGCUCAAAAAAACA